GAUCAUGGCUCAGGACGAACGCUGGCGGCGCGCCUAACACAUGCAAGUCGAACGGGGUUAUACGGGAUGAAGUUUUCGGAUGGAAUUCUAUAUAACCUAGUGGCGGACGGGUGAGUAACACGUGAGCAACCUGCCUAUCAGAGGGGGAUAACGAUUGGAAACGAUCGCUAAUACCGCAUGACAUAGCGAAGAGGCAUCUUUUUGCUAUCAAAGAUUUAUCGCUGAUAGAUGGG
rnacentral:rRNA from 1 species